rnacentral:tRNA from 1 species
CAAAGAAUAGUUUAAUGUAGAACGUUAGC